UAAGAAUUUAAAAGUCGAACAGACUUAUUAUUAAGAAUACUGCUUCUUAGAAUUUUCUUAAUUCAACAUCGAGGUCGCAAAAUAUAAUAUAGAUAUGAACUCCCCAUUAAAAUUACGCUGUUAUCCCUAAGGUAACUUAUUCUUAUUGUCCUAAUAUAUAAUAAGGAUCAAAAAUCACAUAAACAAAUGAAUGUUAAAACUAAAGUUAAUUAUUUAGUAGCCACCCCAGCAAAAUAUAAUUAAAUAUCAAAAAUAUUACAAAAUAAAAAUUUAUGAAAAUAAUAUCAUAUAAAGUUCUAUAGGGUCUUAUCGUCCCAAUAAAUUAAUAAAGCAUUUUAACUUUAAAUUUAAAUUUUAAUAACUAAAGAAAUAAAAUAUAAUUCUCAUACAUCCAUUCAUACAAGCUUUCAAUUAAAAAACUAAUUACUAUGCUACCUUUGCACAGUCAAAAUACUGCAGCCAUUUAGAAAUUAUAUUUAACCAUAGGGCAGAAGAUACUUUUCAUAAAUGCG
rnacentral:rRNA from 1 species